GACGAACGCUGGCGGCGUGCUUAACACAUGCAAGUCGAGCGGUAAGGCCCUUUCGGGGGUACGACGAGCGGCGAACGGGUGAGUAACACGUGGGUGACCUGCCCUUAGCUCUGGGAUAAGCCUGGGAAACUGGGUCUAAUACCGGAUAUGACUCCAUGACGCAUGUUGUGGGGUGGAAAGCCUUGUGCGGCUAGGGAUGGGCCCGCGGCCUAUCAGCUUGUUGGUGGGGUGAUGGCCUACCAAGGCGACGACGGGUAGCCGGCCUGAGAGGGCGACCGGCCACACUGGGACUGAGACACGGCCCAGACUCCUACGGGAGGCAGCAGUGGGGAAUCUUGCGCAAUGGGCGAAAAGCCUGACGCAGCGACGCCGCGUGAGGGAUGACGGCCUGG
rnacentral:rRNA from 1 species